rnacentral:rRNA from 1 species
CUACGGAGGGGGUUAGCGUUGUUCGGAUUUACGGGGCGUAAAGCGCACGUAGGCGGAUUGAUCAGUUAGGGGUGAAAUCCCGAGGCUCAACCUCGGAACUGCCUUUAAUACUGUCAGUCUAGAGACCGGAAGAGGUGAGUGGAACUCCUAGUGUAGAGGUGGAAUUCGUAGAUAUUAGGAAGAACACCAGUGGCGAAGGCGGCUCACUGGUCCGGUACUGACGCUGAGGUGCGAAAGCGUGGGGAGCGAACAGGAUUAGAAACCCUAGUAGUCC